rnacentral:rRNA from 1 species
AGCAUAUCAAUAAGCGGAGGAAAAGAAACCAACAGGGAUUGCCUUAGUAACGGCGAGUGAAGCGGCAACAGCUCAAAUUUGAAAUCUGGCCCUUGGGUCCGAAUUGUAAUUUGUAGAGGAUGAUUUUGGUGCGGUAUCUUCCGAGUUCCUUGGAACAGGACGCCUUAGAGGGUGAGAGCCCCGUACGGUUGAAUGCCUAGCCUUUGUAAAUCUCCUUCGACGAGUCGAGUAGUUUGGGAAUGCUGCUCUAAAUGGGAGGUAAAUUUCUUCUAAAGCUAAAUAUUGGCCAGAGACCGAUAGCGCACAAGUAGAGUGAUCGAAAGAUGAAAAGCACUUUGAAAAGAGGGUUAAAUAGCACGUGAAAUUGUUGAAAGGGAAGGAUUUGUGACCAGACUUUUUCUGGGCGGAUCAUCCGGGGUUCUCUCCGGUGCACUUCGCCCAGUAAAGGCCAGCAUCGAUUUUCGGCGGCGGAUAAAAGCAGUGGGAAUGUGGCUCCUUACGGGGAGUGUUAUAGCCCAUUGUAUAAUACGCUGCUGGGGAUCGAGGUACGCGCUUCUGCAAGGAUGCUGGCGUAAUGGUUAUCAAUCACCCGUCUUGAAACACGGACCAAGGAGUCGAACAUUUGUGCGAGUGUUUGGGUGUUAAACCCUCACGCGUAAUGAAAGUGAACGGAGGUGAGAGCCCUUACGGGUGCAUCAUCGACCGAUCCUGAAGUUUUCGGAUGGAUUUGAGUAAGAGCAUAAAUGUUCGGACCCGAAAGAUGGUGAACUAUGCGUGGAUAGGGUGAAGCCAGAGGAAACUCUGGUGGAGGCUCGCAGCGGUUCUGACGUGCAAAUCGAUCGUCAAAUCUGCGCAUGGGGGCGAAAGACUAAUCGAACCAUCUAGUAGCUGGUUACCGCCGA